rnacentral:rRNA from 1 species
AAUACAUGCAAGUCGAGCGCGGGAAGCAGACUGAAGUCUUCGGACGGACGUCUGUGGAACGAGCGGCGGAUGGGUGAGUAACACGUGGGUAACCUGCCUGUAAGCUUGGGAUAACUCCGGGAAACCGGUGCUAAUACCGAAUGAUCCUGAUGUUCGCAUGAACGUUAGGUAAAAGGCGGCUUUUGCUGUCACUUACAGAUGGACUCGCGGCGCAUUAGCUAGUUGGUGGGGUAAUGGCUCACCAAAGCGACGAUGCGUAGCCGACCUGAGAGGGUGAUCGGCCACACUGGGACUGAGACACGGCCCAGACUCCUACGGGAGGCAGCAGUAGGGAAUCUUCCGCAAUGGACGAAAGUCUGACGGAGCGACGCCGCGUGAGUGAUGAAGGUCUUCGGAUCGUAAAACUCUGUUGUUAGGGAAGAAUAAGUAUCGACCGAAUAAGUCGGUACCUUGACGGUACCUAACCAGAAAGCCCCGGCUAACUACGUGCCAGCAGCCGCGGUAAUACGUAGGGGGCAAGCGUUGUCCGGAAUUAUUGGGCGUAAAGGGCGCGCAGGCGGUCUUUUAAGUCUGAUGUGAAAUCUCGUAACUUAACUACGAGCGGUCAUUGGAAACUGGAAGACUUGAGGACAGAAGAGGAGAGUGGAAUUCCACGUGUAGCGGUGAAAUGCGUAGAGAUGUGGAGGAACAUCAGUGGCGAAGCGACUCUCUGGUCUGUAACUGACGCUGAGCGCGAAGCGUGGGGAGCGACAGAUAGAUACCCUGGUAGUCCACGCCGUA